rnacentral:rRNA from 1 species
UACGGAGGAUGCAAGCGUUAUCCGGAUUCAUUGGGUUUAAAGGGUGCGCAGGCGGAGAUAUAAGUCAGUGGUGAAAAACUGCCGCUCAACGGUAGUCUUGCCAUUGAUACUGUUUCUCUUGAGUAUGGAUGAGGUAGGCGGAAUGUGCAGUGUAGCGGUGAAAUGCAUAGAUAUUGCACGGAACACCAAUUGCGAAGGCAGCUUACUGGGCCAUUACUGACGCUCAGGCACGAAAGCGUGGGGAUCAAACAGG